CAGUAGCCGCGGGAACACGAACCGUGCGAACGUUAUUCGGAAUCACUGGGCUUAAAGCGCGUGUAGGCGGGACGGCACGUCGACUGCUGAAAUCCCUCGGCUUAACCGAGGAAGUGGCAUCGAUACGACCGUCCUGGAGGAACGUAGGGGGACCUGGAACUUCCGGUGGAGCGGUGAAAUGCGUUGAGAUCGGAAGGAACGCCCGUGGCGAAAGCAAGGUCCUGGACGUUUUCUGACACUGAGACGCGAAAGCCAGGGGAGCGAACGGGAUUAGAUACCCGGGUAGUCCCUGUCUCUUAUA
rnacentral:rRNA from 1 species